AAAGGAAUUGACGGGGGCCCGCACAAGCAGUGGAGUAUGUGGUUUAAUUCGAAGCAACGCGAAGAACCUUACCAGGACUUGACAUCCACAGGAGGCAUAAGAAAUUAGGCCGUGCCCUUCGGGGAACUGUGAGACAGGUGGUGCAUGGUUGUCGUCAGCUCGUGUCGUGAGAUGUUGGGUUAAGUCCCGCAACGAGCGCAACCCCUGUUGUUAGUUGCCAACACGUAAAGGUGUGCACUCUAGCAAGACUGCCGGCGAUAAGUCGGAGGAAGGUGGGGAUGACGUCAAAUCAUCAUGCCCUUUAUGUUCUGGGCUACACACGUACUACAAUGGCCGUAACAACGGGGAGCGAAGCCGUGAGGUGGAGCAAAUCCCUAAAAAACGGUCUCAGUUCGGAUUGCAGGCUGAAACUCGCCUGCAUGAAGGUGGAAUUGCUAGUAAUCGCGGAUCAUCAUGUCGCGGUGAAUACGUUCCCGGGCCUUGUACACACCGCCCGU
rnacentral:rRNA from 1 species